rnacentral:pre_miRNA from 1 species
UCAUGAUGAUGAUGAUGAUGAUGAUCAUAAUAAUCAUGAUGAUGAUCAUCAUCAUCAUCAUCAUCAUCAUCAUUAGCGUCAUCAUCAUCACCAGAA